CAGCCGCCGCGGGAAUACGAAGGGUGCAAGCGUUAAUCGGAAUUACUGGGCGUAAAGCGCGCGUAGGUGGUUCAUUAAGUUGGAUGUGAAAGCCCUGGGCUCAACCUGGGAACUGCGUCCAAAACUGGUGAGCUAGAGUACGGUAGAGGGUAGUGGAAUUUCCUGUGUAGCGGUGAAAUGCGUAGAUAUAGGAAGGAACACCAGUGGCGAAGGCGACUAUCUGGGCCAACACUGACACUGAGGCACGAAAGCGUGGGGAGCAAACAGGAUUAGAUACCCCGGUAGUCCCUGUCUCUUAUAC
rnacentral:rRNA from 1 species